rnacentral:rRNA from 1 species
UACGGAGGGGACUAGCGUUGUUCGGAAUUACUGGGCGUAAGGCGCACGUAGGCGGAUUUGUAAGUCAGGGGUGAAAUCCCGGGGCUCAACCUCGGAACUGCCUUUGAUACUGCAAAUCUCGAGUCCGGAAGAGGUGAGUGGAAUUCCUAGUGUAGAGGUGAAAUUCGUAGAUAUUCGGAAGAAACACCAGUGGCGAAGGA